GUUGGGGAGAAUGUAAUACCCCGUGUUUUCAAACUUGAUUUGUCAGUUUGGUUAUCCGUUACAAAUUGGUUGUUUUCUUGCAUUCGUUGUUAUUUUGCAUUUCAACAUUUUUCUUGUUAUGUUUCGAACUUGAUUCUGAACUUGAUUCUGAAUGGUUAUAUGUUAGAAGUAACACUUGCGAUACCUUGGUUGUGUCUUUUUGAGUGUCUUAUAUGUAUCUCAUGAUCUCGUAUGUGUUUGAUGUUGAUUCAAUUUAUUUUCGGGUAUAUAUCAAAACAGCAUUCGCAUGUUUUCCAGAACUGUCCUGUUUUAGUAAAACGUUGAUAUCUCCCAAUUGAAAUAUCGGAUCAGGCCCAUUUUUUAAUAUGUUGUUCAUAAGAGUAUAUUCUAGCAUGUGUUAAAUUUUCACGUUUUUUGGAUGCUUCUAACUCUCAAAAUGAUAAUUAAAUCGUGGUUUUUAUCAAAGCCCAUGUAAAGCCCGCAUAAGUCUAUAAGUAGACCCAUAUUUUCAUGUGAGCAGCCCCCUUUUCUUUUCCACAAACCCUAAAACGAAUAUCUUCAUAUAAAAUACACAUUUCCUUUGUUCUAACAAGCCCGGAUGCGAUUCAUUACGCUAAGAACUUGAUUUUUCAUCAUACUCGCAAGAUCUACGCGAUUUCUACGUUGUGUUCUUCGCUGGUGGCUUGUGGAUCCAAUUGAUUUCGGUCCAGCCCUUUGAACCUUGGGUUAAUACAUCAAUUAUAAUCUUGUCCAUCAUUCUUAGACCCGUCGAAUGCUCGUACUUCGGAGUCUACGCAGGGUUAGCUGUUUGCCAAGAUUUCACGUGGAUAAGCAAGCAGUUUAUGAUUUGAAAGCUGGUCCACUCCGAUUCUUGAUUCUUGGAGGUUUUUAUGUCAAUAAAACUAGUCUGUUGUUUUAAACUCUUAGACCGCAGUAGAACUAGUAUAGUGUUUGAUUAUUAUACUUUGGUUUGUCGUGGUGGUACGACUUUUAUAUUAUUAUACUUUGGCAUGUUACAUUGGAUUAUUAUAUUUGAGGCAUGAUUCACAGUUUCGGAUUA